rnacentral:rRNA from 1 species
CCCUUAGAUGUCCUGGGCCGCACGCGUGCUACACUGACACUUGCAACGAGUACUUUGCUUUACCGAAAGGUAAUGCUAAUCAUCAAUAAGUGUCGUGAUGGGGAUAGAUCUUUGGAAUUAUGGAUCUUGAACGAGGAAUGCCUAGUAAGCGUAGGUCAUUAGCCUACGCUGAUUAAGUCCCUGCCCUUUGUACACACCGCCCGUCGCUCCUACCGAUUUCGAGUGGUCCGGUGAAACUUUUGGACCGUGCGACUUUAUUGUUGUCACGGAAAGUCAGUUAAACCAUCCUACUUAGAGGAAGGAGAAGUCGUAACA